rnacentral:rRNA from 1 species
AUACGUAGGGUGCAAGCGUUAAUCGGAAUUACUGGGCGUAAAGCGUGCGCAGGCGGUUUUGUAAGACAGUGGUGAAAUCCCCGGGCUCAACCUGGGAAAUGCCAUUGUGCCUGCAAAGCUGGAGUGCGGCAGAGGGGGAUGGAAUUCCGCGUGUAGUAGUGGAAUGCGUAGAUAUGCGGAGGAACACCGAUGGCGAAGGCAAUCCCCUGGGCCUGCACUGACGCUCAUGCACGAAAGCGUGGGGAGCAAACAGGAUUAGAUACCCUGGUAGUCCACGCCCUAAACGAUGUCAACUGGUUGUUGGGGAUUUAUUUUCUCAGUAACGAAGCUAACGCGUGAAGUUGACCGCCUGGGGAGUACGGCCGCAAGGUUAAAACUUAAAGGAAUUGACGGGG